UUAAGUGAACAAGGGCAUACGGCGGAUGCCUUGGCGCCAAGAGCCGAUGAAGGACGCGGUAAGCUGCGAAAAGGCAUGGGUAGGAGCAAGCAUCCUGUGAUCCAUGCAUAUCCGAAUGGGGCAACCCACCAUCAGUCAUGUGAUGGUACGAAAGAGGCAGACCUGGGGAACUGAAACAUCUAAGUACCCAGAGGAAAAGUAAUCAAUUGAGAUUCCCUAAGUAGCGGCGAGCGAAAGGGGAAGAGCCCAAACCAUAAAACUUCGGUUUUGUGGGGUUGAGGACCGGCAAAAAGAGGAAACUUCUUAGUCGAAUGGUUUGGAAAGGCCAUGCAUAGAAGGUAAAACACCUGUAGGCGAAAAGAAGUCAAUCGGGCUGGUAUCCAGAGUACUGCGAGACACGUGAAACCUUGCAGGAAGCAGGGGGGACCACCCUCCAAGGCAAAAUACUACUUGGCGACCGAUAGCGCAUAGUACCGUGAGGGAAAGGUGAAAAGAACCCCGGGAGGGGAGUGAAAUAGAACCUGAAACCGUAUGUCUACAAGCAGUCGAAGCACCUUAAGAGUGCGACGGCGUGCCUAUUGAAGAAUGAACCGGCGAGUUACAUUAUGUUGCGAGGUUAAGUGGGAGACACGGAGCCGAAGCGAAAGCGAGUCUUAAUAGGGCGACUAGUAACAUGGUGUAGACCCGAAACCGCAGUGAUCUAUCCAUGGUCAGGUUGAAGCGCAGGUAAAAAUGCGUGGAGGACCGAACCCGUGAGUGUUGAAAAACUUUGGGAUGAACCGUGGAUAGGGGUGAAAUGCCAAUCGAACGCGGAGAUAGCUGGUACUCCCCGAAAUAGCUUUAGGGCUAGCCUCAGGGAAGAUUAUAGACGGUAGAGCACUGAUCUGGCAAGGGGGCGUAAAGCCUACCGACCCUAGUCAAACUUCGAAUGGCUAUAAUUAAGACCCUGGGAGUCAGACUGCGAGUGAUAAGACCCGUAGUCAAGAGGGAAACAGCCCAGACCGCCGACUAAGGUCCCCAAUGCUGUACUAAGUGGAAAAGGAUGUAAGACUUCAUAAACAACCAGGAUGUUGGCUUAGAAGCAGCCACCAUUAAAAGAGUGCGUAAUAGCUCACUGGUCGAGAGGCCUUGCGCCGAAGAUGUCCGGGGCUCAAGUACAGAACCGAAGUCGCGGCAGGAUUAUAUAAUUCUGGGUAGGGGAGCGUUGUAUAUCCGACUGAAGGUGUACCGGAAGGAGCGCUGGAGGAUAUACAAGAGAGAAUGCCGGUAUGAGUAGCGAAAAGAACAGUGAGAAUCUGUUCCACCGAAAGCCUAAGGUUUCCUGAGCAACGCUCGUCGACUCAGGGUAAGUCGGGACCUAAGCCGAGGCAAAAAGCAUAGGCGAUGGACAACAGGUUAAUAUUCCUGUACCGCUUCAAAUCGUUUGAGCAAUGGAGUGACACAGAAGGUAGCUUGAGCACGCGAUUGGAUGUGCGUGUCGAAGGUGGUAGGUUGCAGUAUAGGCAAAUCCGUACUGUAUAAGACCGAGAACUGAUAGAUAGACGAUACUUCGGUAAAGUCAAAUUCAAGUGAGCCAUGCUGUCGAGAAAAGCUUCUAGUGAGAGAUGAGGCGCCCGUACCGAAACCGACACAGGUAGGCGGGGAGAGAAUCCUAAGGUGCGCGGGACAACCCUCGUUAAGGAACUCGGCAAAUUGUAUCCGUAACUUAGGGAUAAGGAUAGCCGGAGGAUGUGAAGGGAUUUACUUCUGGAGCGUCAGCCGGUGGCACAAGAGAGGCCCAAGCGACUGUUUAGCACAAACACAGGUGCCUGCAAAAGAGAAAUCUGACGUAUAGGUGCUGACACCUGCCCGGUGCUGGAAGGUUAAGAGGAGGGCUUAGAGGCAACUCGAAGGCUUGAAUUGAAGCCCCAGUAAACGGCGGCCGUAACUAUAACGGUCCUAAGGUAGCGAAAUUCCUUGUCGGGUAAGUUCC
rnacentral:rRNA from 1 species